rnacentral:lncRNA from 1 species
GAUACCGUAGAUAAAUCUCCUUUCAAACUUUACCAUUUGAUAGUUCUGUGUGUUGAUUUCCUGUUACCGAUACUAAUCAAUCUUAGUAUCCGUUUGUAUCCCUUUUGCGAGGUCCUUCAAUCAACCAAACCAGGAACCUCGGGAUGCUUCAUGUCUACUACCGGAUUACCUUGAGAAGUCCGAGACACUUCUCGAAACUCUUUCCAGGUAAACACUUUGUCAACAUAUCUAUGUCUACUACCGGAUUACCUUGAGAAGUCCGAGACACUUCUCGAAACUCUUCCCAGG